rnacentral:rRNA from 1 species
GAUGAACGCUAGCGGCAGGCCUAAUACAUGCAAGUCGAGGGGCAGCACGGCAGCAAUGCUGGUGGCGACCGGCGCACGGGUGCGUAACGCGUAUGCAACCUACCUUUGACAGUGGGAUAGCCCCGAGAAAUCGGGAUUAAUACCGCAUAACAAUGCGAGAUGGCAUCAUUUUGCAUUUAAAACUCCGGUGGUCAAAGAUGGGCAUGCGUGACAUUAGCUGGUUGGCGGGGUAACGGCCCACCAAGCCGACGAUGGGUAGCUGGUCUGAGAGGACGAUCAGCCACACUGGAACUGAGACACGGUCCAGACUCCUACGGGUGGCUG